rnacentral:lncRNA from 1 species
GGUACAGGCUGGGAUUGUAGUCCUGCAGCCUUGUGGCCGAAGGGCUGGGACUGGCCAUGAGAUUACAUGUCCUAGCAUGCUCAGCCAGGCGCGCGCAGCUCUGCCCCUUCCUCCAGUGAUGCGCACAGUCCCUGAUCCCUGUGCACGCUGGGAUUGUAGUCCUGCAGCCCUGCGAUCACUUGCAGAGCUGUUCCGCCAUGCAGACGGGGAGCCUGCCUGUUCUUUAACCUCUCCUACCUGAUGGGAGAGGACAAGCUACCAGGACAGCUUGUCUCACCAAGAAAUUGUGAUACCGCAUCCCCCAACGUGCUGGCUUCCUGACUUCCAAAGUUGCGGCAAGGUAAGAAGAACUACAGAGGAAGAACCUAAUGCAGACGUUUCCCAGGAGACUUUAACUGAAGUAUCAGCAAACUGAAAGGUAACGAGAGAAUCUUGUGCCUCUGAGGGUGUCUUUCCCAUGGAUCCCUGCUCAGUUGCCUUUCACGGGCCCCCUGAUUUGCGUGAACUCCUGACCUCAGAUGAUCCGCCUGCCUUGGCCCUCCAAAGUGCUGGAAUUAUAGGCAUGAGCCACCGUGCCUGGCCUGUUCCAUGCAUUAAAAAAAAAUAAAAAAAUUAAAAAAAAUCAGUGAGAACAAGAAGAAAUGUAAAUGCUGGGCUUUUCAUAUAAAUCCAGGGAAUUAUGGGACAGUUAGUACCCACCUCCCAGGGUAUUAUAAGGAUAAAUUCAUGUCAUCUUCCCAGCUCCGUAGCGUGCUUCUGAGCACACAGAGCAUGCUCCAUAAACAUUGCAUUAACGCAUGUGUGCAUGUUGUUUUCCAAAUGCAGACUUACUCAGACAUGAGCUGCCUUCUCCAGCCUCUGUAAAGUUUAAAGGACCAGCAGAGUGUGCCAUGUUUUAGGAUAGUGAUUGGUGGUUUUUAUUUUGGACUGAAAGCAUUUAUGUUGUGAGAAGAGUAUAGGUUUAAGGAACUGUGUGCUGUGGCACUUUGUCUAGUUGAGUGCUGCUAUAAGUGAUCUAGGGCAAGUAGGGUCAGCAUUAGCUGUGAAUGAAGCCAAUCCAUGGACCCCUUUCAAACCUGCAGAAUUGGCCAGGCAUGGUGGCUCAUGCCUGUAAUCCCAGCACUUUGGGAGGCCGAGGCGGGUGGAUCACUUGAGGUCAGGAGGUCGAGACCAGGCUGACCAACAUGGAGAAACCCCGUCUCUACUAAAAAAUACAAAAUUAGCCGGAUGUGGUGGCACAUGCCUGUAAUACCAGCUACUCGGGAGGCUGAGGAAGGAGAAUUGCUUGAACCUGGGAGGUGGAGCUUGUGGUGAGCUGAGAUUGCGUGCCAUUGCACUCCAGCUUGGGCAAGAAGAGCGAAACUCCAUCUCAAAAAAAAAAAAAAAAGAAAAAAAGAAAAAAAGGGAAAAAAGAAAACAUUAAAUGCAGCAAGAUGCAGGUCAGAGCAUACCUCCAUUUGUGUGCUCUUGUGGACAAAAUUUAAAUGGCAAAUAAGAUUUUGCAUUUAUUGACGUUUUUCUUUACAUUGCUGUAAGUACAAAUACCCAUUUAUCCUUUGACCUCCUAUAUCUUUAUUCUGUAUGCAUAUGAAAAAAAAUGCUAGAUCUGUAUCUAGAUUAUACAUGGGUAAACACAACAUAUAGAAUUAUAUGACUUUGCCUAUGUAGAUAUUUAUGUAUACAAUAGAUAUUAAUCAACAUUUUAAAUUCCCCAGCCUACACUGCGGAUGCAGAUAUAAACUUACUCUCACCUAUAUGGAUCCAUACCAUCUCAGACUGGAAAACAGCCAUACAAGGUUAUGUUUAAACAUCAAUAAAGCUUCACAUAUAGGUGCAUGGCCUGGGAAGUAUGUUUUUGGUAAAGCCAUCUUAGACUCUAGUUCCAGCUUAGCAUUUCAGGGCCCUGCUUCCUUUCUCACUGUAUGCCUGUGUGAUUCACAUUUGCCAUUUGGGUCGAUUGACUUAUAUCCAUCUAAGCUGAUCUAAGUGGUUUAUUAAACUCAUCUGGGCUGCAGAAGUUGAGAAGGAAAGCAACCUCUGACCUACUUAUUCUGAGGCUUGUCUACAGGACAUAUGCAAUAAUGGGAAUUACAUUGACAUACCUAUGUUACCCAUUUUCUGUUUUUUUUUUUGAGAUGGAGUUUCACUCUUGUUGGCCAGGCUGGAGUGCAAUGGUGCAAUAUCAGCUCACUGCAACCUCUGCCUCCUGGGUACAAGCGAUUCUCCUACCUCAGCCUCCCGAAUAGCUGGGAUUACAGGCACCUGCCACCACACCUGGCUAAUUUUUUGUAUUUUUACUAGAGAUGGGGUUUCACCAUGUUGGCCAGGCUGGUCUCGAACUCCUGACCACAGGUGAUCCACCCACCUCGGCCUCCCAAAGUGCUGGGAUUACAGGCAUGAGCCACCGUGCCUGGCCUUUCUGUGUAUAUGUUUAUCUAGCCACCGAUAUCAUAUCUAUAUGUAUAAAAAAGACCACCAAAGUGCUCAGAGGUGAUUUUUAUUUUCCAUUCAGGCCAAGUAAAUCCAAUCAGCCAUUAGCUCAGUGAAGAUUUGUCAAAUCCAAGCCACACACCAAAUCACGUUAUGCUAAAUGUGAAAAUGUCCUCAUUACUGGGCACCAAGGUGUUUUAAAUUCAGAGUCUAAUCAAAACAGCUCAUGGGGUUCUGUCCAUCCAGCUAGGACGCUUCAGACAUACCAGUGGGCCUAACCUUUUUCACAAGGAGCUCUGGCCUGGCCAACAAGAAUCACCUUUGGUGCUUCAGUGCAGUGUCACCAUCACCUGUUUGAAAUGCAGCCAGGUAACAUGUACCAUUUUAUUUGCUUUCAGUAUCACAGUCUAUCUUCUAAUAAGAAACCUAGGCCUCUGGCUGGGUGUGGUGGCUUACACCUGUAACCCAGCACUUUGAGAGGCUGAGGUGGGUGGAUCACUUGAGGUCAGGAGUUCGAGACCACCCUGGCCAACAUGGUGAAACUCCCAUCUCUACUAAAAAUAUUAAAAUUAGCUGGGCAUGGUGGCAUGUGCCCUCUAAUCCCAGGUACUAGGGAGGCUGAGGCAGGAGAAUCACUUAAAACCGGGAGGCGGAGGUUGCAGUGAGCUGAGAUGAUGCCACUGCACUCCAGCCUGGGCAACAAGAGUGAAACUCCAUCUCAAAAAAAAAAAAAAAAAGGAUUUUUUUUUUUUUUUUUUUCUGUGCUGGGUUUACUUAGCAUACCUUUCAGAUUCAUGAAUGUUGCAAAUAACAAGACUUUAUUUUUAAGGGCUGAAUGGCAUUUCAUUGUGUACAUAUACCACAUUUUCUUUCUCCAUUCACCUACUGAUGAACACUCAGGUUGAUUCCAUACCUUAGUUAUUAUCAGUAAUCCACUUCCUUCCCUUUCAUUUGUGUUUGUUUUGUUUUGUUUGAGAUGGAGUCUCAUUCUGUCACCCAAGCUGGAGUGCAGUGGCGCGGUCUUGGCUAACAGCAACCUCCGCCUCCCAGGUUCAAGCAAUUCUCCUGCCUCAGCCUCUCGAGUAGCUGGUAUUACAGGCACGCACCACCACGCCCAGGUAAUUUUGUAUUUUUAGUAGACAUGGGGUUUCUCCAUGUUGGUAAGGCUGAUCUCCAACUCCCGACCUCAGGUGAUCCACCUGCCUCUGCCUCUCAAAGUGCUGGAAUUACAGGCUUAAGCUACCAUGCCUGGCCAAAAGCCUAGGUUUCUUUCUAUGUAAGCCUAGGUUUAUUUCUAUGUGAAGUGUAAAAGAAAUUUAAACUCAUAGAAGCAGAGAGUACAAUAAUGAAAAAAAAAAAAAAUCUCCUAUGGGGUUUUUUGUCUGAUUGAGAGCUUCUUCAUGAUCUUUCAGGGAUUGUAUUUUCUUUCAUCUUCUGCAUCCUCCUGUUUUUUAGCCAAUGGAUGAAAAAAAAUACAGAGAAGACACAUUUGCUUUUAUCCACUGCACUUCCACUCACUAUUAGUCAUUGUGGAUACAGCUGAGAAUAGCAGUUUUCUGGCAGGACAGCCACUUCUCAGUAAUAAACAACUGAAAAAGUAUAAAUGUGUCAUAAAAAGCUAAUAGAUUUUAAGAAAAACAAGCAUAGGCAUCAAUAAUGUUUGUGGUAAAUAAAGAUUCAUAUUGUUGAUUUCUAUUGAGCUCCCGUAAUAUUUGAUAAAAGCUUGCAAAUAUACAGCAGAAAAGGAGUAUUAUUCUAAAUCAGAAUAUUGUUAUGGCUAUUUUGUCAAUAGAAGUCAAUAUCCAAUAUACAGAAUGGUUAUUUUGUCAAUGUAAGUAAAAAUAUGACUUCACACUAAUAGUCUCACCAAUAGUUGUAAUCAAAUGCUAUUUUUUAUUUAAAAUUUUAUUUCAUAUAAGUAAUCCCAGGCGGGCGGAUCAUGAGGUCAAGAGAUCGAGACCAUCCUUGCCAACAUGGUGACAGCCCAUCCCUACUAAAAAUACAAAAAUUAGCUAAGCAUGGUGGCACAUGCCUGUAGUCCCAGCUAUUCGGGAGGCUGAGGUAGGAGAACCACUCGAUCCCGGGAGCUGAGAUCACGCCACUGCACUCCAGCCUGGGGACAGAGCAAGACUCCAUCUCAAAAAAAAAAAAAAAAAAGGUCUAUAUGUUUGCAGACAGACCAGAUGUUCAAAGAAAACUAUAUAAUAAACAUUUACUAAUAAUUUUUCAGGAUUCAGAAAUACAUGGAUUCUAUUUCUAUUUCUUUGUUUUUUUUUGAAAUAGAGUCUUGCUCUGUUGCCCAGACUGGAAUGCAGUGGCGUGAUCUCAGCUCACUGCAACCUCCACCUCCGGGGUUCAAGCGAUUCUCUCCUGCCUCAGCCUCCAGGUGUGUGCCACCAUGUCUGGCUAAUUUUUGUGUUUUUAGUAGAGCUGGGUGUUGGGGUUCAAUCAGGCUGGUGGGAAAAAUAUUUAAAAGAGUAACAGUCAAAAGCUGUCCUAAAAGGCCUGAGAGUUUGCAUAGCUUGAUUGCUUGGCUGAAGGCAGCCAGGGUCUCUUUGCAGGAGGCCAGGAAGAUUAGGGUGCAAGUGAAAAGGAAUGUAGGAAGUUUAUCUUACUAACCUGUUUAGUUAUAUGGGCUUAAGACUAACUUUUGUCCUGCUGAGGGUACUUUACUGCCGCCUACUCGGGGGUCCGCAGUUUAUUACCCACAAAUGGUGUUUGCUUUAGGCCUGGGAACCUGGCCUUUAAUUUUACCCUCUAGUGGUGUUUACUCACAACUUUUGUUAAUUAGUCUUACUGAAUAAAUGCAAGCCUCACUAUCUGAUCAGAGCCAAGUUGCAACUGUUUACAGAACUCACCUUGGAGCCUGUAAGCGGCUCGGACCCUCAGCUGGACUGGCAGAGCAGAAUGUGUGUCAGUGUACUUUAUUCAUCCACAGCGAGUGCCCCCGCGAAAGGAGCGCUUCCUCAGACGGGGUUUCACUAUGUUGGCCAGGAUGGUCUUGAACUCCUGACCUCAGACAAUCCACCUGCCUUGGAAAGUGCUGGGAUUACAGGCCUGAGCCACUGCACCUGGCCAUAUUUUAUUUAUUUUUCUGUAUAAUUUUUAUUAUGACCAUAAAAAUAAACCUGUAGUCAGUAACAAUUUAAUUGUACAUUUUAAAAUAAUUAAAAAUGUAUAAUUACACUGUAAUUCAAAGGAUAAAUGCUAGAGGUGAUGGAUACUUUACCCUAAUGUAAUUACUACAUAUUGUAGGCCUGAAUCAAAAUAUGCCAUAUAAGGCAUAAAGAUAUACACAUACUGUAUACCCACAAAUACUAGUAAUAGAUUUCAAUAAGAAAAAAAAUUUAAGCUAUGGGAACAAUUCAACUCAUUUGCAGUUUAAAGCCACUGGCAAAGUGACAAGUAGAGAUGUUAUUCCACUACGUACCAAACAGUAUAUUGUUACCAUCUUUUAAGUACACCCUUGAUUAAGGUGGGAUAGGUUAAAGUUAGUGGCAUAAUGGCCAGGUGCGGUGGCUCACGCCUGUAAUCCCAGCACUUUGGGAGGCCGAGGUGGGCGGAUCACAAGGUCAGGAGAUUGACCAUCCCGGCUAACACAGUGAAACCCCAUCUCUACUAAAAAUACAAAAAAAUUAGCCGGGCAUGGUGGCGGGUGCCUGUAGUCCCAGCUACUCAGGAAGCUGAGGCAGGAGAAUGGUGUGAACCUGGGAGGUGGAGGUUGCAGUGAGCCGAGAUCGUGCCACAGCACUCCAGCCUGGGUGAAAGACCGAGACUCCAUCUCAAAAAAAAAGAAAAAAAGUUAGUGGCAUAAUAAUGCUUCAUUAAACGCAGAAUAGUCUUAACAUGGUAUAAAAAAUGAAAUUAAGUUCACACAUCAUCUAACAAUUUUUAAAUAUACUGCAUUCGAUUACAUAAAAGUACAGUUAGUAAAAUAAUAUUCUCAUUUAAUACUUUUAACUGUAAUUUUUCUCACUAUAAUGUAGAAAACUAUUACUCUGAACCCCCACUUUUUAAAAAUCUUUAUUAAUAAAGUAAUUCAUUAUAAUUUUUGAAAAAAAAAGUUUUAAAAUGGUCUGCCAACAUGUUAAUGUAGGUUAGGCCAUCCAAAAGACAAAGCAAAACAUCAACAUUAAGUCAUAGGCUAGGAUUAUACAAAUGAGAACCCCCACCUUAUACAUUACUUAAUAUAAGUUAACUACAAAGAGCCUCUCCACUUACAUUUUUAUCAUGCAUCUUACAUUUUAAUGUCCUUAUUCUUUUAUAGAAAAGGUCAUAAUACCCAAUAAAAAAGAAUCUGUAAUAUCCCUGAUGCAGCAACAAUUGAUCACAUGCUUUCACAUGUGACCACAAUAGGAAUAAAAUAACAGCGUAAAGAAAUUUGAAAGUUGUAUUACAUCAUUAUUCACUGUUCAAAAAUUUUUUUCAAGAAACAAGUACACUUUCAAUGAAAUUACAAUGCUUCAGAAAAUCUCCCUUUUAAAGUUAUAUACAAAAACAGCUUUAGUUGUGGAUUCAUUUUUAUACUCAAUACUCUGAUUUAGUGUAAUGUCUGAAGUGUCAGUGCCUUAUUCUAGUGUAAAUUCUCAUAUUUACGUAAAAUCAAUUUUGAAUUAAAUAUUUUUUUCAUAUUUACAUCUGCAAAAAUAUACUUUAGUAUAAACUCUCUGAUGUUUUCUAAGCUAUAGAUUUUGAAAAAAAAAGUCUUUCCAAAUUCAUUAUAUUUGCAGGACUCUUCUCCAAUAUAAAUUCCAUGUUGUUGAAUAAAGCUGGAGCAACUGCUUCAGGUUUUCCUCUAGUACACAAUGUGUGCAACAAGAUCUGUGAUACAAGUAAAGGUACUACAACCCCCCCUUAUAUUUGUAAUAGCUGAUUUCAGAAUAAAUAUUCUUCUUUAAAGGCUUAUAUUUUCUGAAAGAUUUUUUGACAGUAAUUGCACUUUUAUUGCUUUUAUUAACUAUGAACCUUCUGUUGAGAUGUGAGUGGGCGUUAAUGGCGUUUCCAUAUUCUUUAUAUCUGUACGAUUUUUCUCAAGGAUAAAAGCUUUCCUGUGAAAUAAGGUGUAAGCACUCAAAAGUUUUGCCACAUUCUUCACACUUGUAGGAGUUUUGGCAGCAUUAAUUCUCUUACCUACAAUCAAGUGUGGCAACCAUAUAAACGCUUUGUCUCAUUUCAUACAUUUCCAGGGUUUCACAUUAGUAUAAUUUAUUUUUAUGUAUACAAAAGUUGGAGGUGGUGGUAAAAGCACUGUUGCAUCUUUCAGGUUUGUAGAGUUCCUCUUCAGCAUGAAUUAUCGCCAUGUCUCUUAAGAAUUGAGAACUUGUGGCUGGGCGUCGUGGCUCAUGCCUGUCAUCUCAGCACUUUAGGAUGCCGAGGUGGGUGGACCAUCUGAGGUCAGGAGUUGGAGACCAGUCUGGCAAACAUGAUGAAACCCCAUCUCUACUAAAAAUACAAAAAUUAGCUGGGCAUGGUGGUGGGCACCAGUAAUCCCAGCUACUCGGGAGGCUGAGGCAGGAGAAUGGCUUGAUACCAGGAGGCAGAAGUUGCAGUGAGCUGAGAUCGUGCCAUUGCACUCCAGCCUGGGUGACAAGAGUGAAACUCCAUCUCAAAAAACAAAAAGAGUUGACAGGUUGUUAUAGGCUUUGCCAUAUUCUUCACACUUGUAGGGUUUCUGUCCAGUAUAAAUUAUGUGUAAUAAGGGUUGAGAACUUCCUUAAAAAGCUUUGUCACAUUCUUUAUAUUUGUAGGGUUUAUGUUCCAUAUAAAUUCUCAUAUUUAGUCAGAGUCCAGGGCUAGUUAAAGGCUUUCCCACAUUCAUCACAUUCAUACGGUUUCUCUCCAGUAUGAAUUAUCUUAUGCUUAUUAAGGGUUGAGGAACAUUUAAAAGAUUUUCCACAUUCUUCACUAUGCAGGGUUUCUGUCUAAUAUGAAUUUUCUUAUGUUUAUUAAGGGCUGAGGACCAGUUAAAAGCUUUGCCACAUUCUUCACAUUUGUACGGUUUCUCUCCAGUAUGAAUUAUCUUAUGUUCAGUUAGAGUUGAGAAUGCAGUAAAGGCUUUGCCACAUUCUUCACACUUGUAGGGUUUCUCUCCAGUAUGAGCUCUCUUAUGUUUAGAGAGGCUUGAGUACCAGGUAAAGGUUUUGCCACAUUCGUCACAUUUGUAGGGUACAUCUCCAGUAUGAAUUCUCUUAUGUUUAGUAAGGUUUGAGGAACGGUUAAAAGCUUUGCCACAUUCCUCACAUUUGUAGGGUUUCUCUCCAGUAUGAAUUAUCUCAUGUUUAGUAAGGGUUGAGGAUGAAAUAAAGGCUUUGCCACAUUUAUCACACUUGUAUGGUUUCUCUCCAGUAUGAAUUUUCUUAUGUGAAAAAAGGGUUGCAGGGUGGUUAAAAGCUUUGCCACAUUCUCUACAUCUGUAGGGUUUCUCUCCAGUAUGAAUUAUCUUAUGUGUAGUAAGGUUACAGGACUGCUUAUAGGCUUUGCCACAUUCUUCACAUUUGUAGGGUUUCUCUCCAGUAUGAAUUUUCUUAUGUGUAGUAAGGUGUGAGGACUGCUUAUAGGCUUUACCACAUUCUUCACAUUUAUAGCGUUUCUCUCCAGCAUCAAUUUUCUUAUAUGUAGUACGGGUUGAAGACUGGUUAAAAGUUUUCCCAUAUUCUAUACAUUUAAAAGAUUUUUUUCCAGUAUCUCUUAUCUUAUGUUUGUUUGAAUUUGAAAAUUUAUGCAAGAAUUUCACAUAUUCAUCACAUUGAAAUAUUUUUCUCUGGGUAGUUGCCAAACAUUGUUUAAGUCCAUUAUAACCUCUUUUGUGCACUGGACACUCAUCUACACUUUCACAGCCUUUUUUUAACUGUAAAUUGUCAUGUCUACAUUUUUCAUAUCUUCUUAGUAUCACUUUUUGGAAAGAAUCUUUUAUGCUCUGCUCUGACCAAAGGUCUUGGGCAAAAUGAGAAUACAUAACUGAAAGAAACAAUAAAAACACAUGACUUCAAUUGCUAGACUCAGAUAAAUAUACUUCACAAAUCUAACCUAUAAAAUUAUACAAACUACGUAAGCAAGAUGACACAGCAAAAUACCACAAGCUGUAAUUUCUUCCUGGAUAUAUAACUGUAACAAAAACAUACUGACCAAAAUACAUUUGUAAAAAAUUUAUAAAUUAGUUAAGUGUGUAAAGGGCUCCAGGUGAGCACAAUGCAAAGAGCCACAUAGAAAAAUAGAAAAAAAGAAAAGUCUGUUACUUAUACCCAACACAGCUCUUCCUGCUCUCCAGUAUAACAUUGUGCCUUUAAAAGUAAAUUGCGGGCCCGGUGUGGUAGCUCACACCCGUGACCCCAGCACUCCGGGAGGCUGAGGCAGGUGGAUCAUGAGGUCAACAGUUCAAGACCAGCCUGGCAAAGAUGGUGAAACCCCGUCUCUACAAAACUACAAAACGUUAGCCAGGUGUGGUAACAGAUACCUGUAAUCCAGUUACUUGGGAGGCUGAGGGAGGAGAAUUGCUUGAACUGUGGAGGCAGAGAUUGUAGUGAGCCAAGAUCAUGCCAUUGUACUCCAGCCUAGGUAACAGAGUGAGACUCUGUCUCACACAUGCACACAAAUAUGUAAAUUGCCAACCCCUGGUUUCUUUUUUAAAAAACAAGAAAAGUAUUGGCACAUACAUCUUUAUUUCUGGAUUCUAGGGGCUUUUUUAUUUUUAUUUUUUAUUUUAUUUAUUUAUUUAUUUUGAGGUAGAGUCUCGCUCUGUCUCCCAGGCUGGAGUGCAGUGGCGCAAUCUCGGCUCACUGCAAGCUCCGCCUCCCGGGUUCACGCCAUUCUCCUGCCACAGCCUCCCAACUAGAUGGGACUACAGGUGCCCGCCACCAUGCCCGGCUAAUUUUUUGUAUUUUUAGUAGAGAUGGAGUUUCACCGUGUUAGCCAGGAUAGUCUCAAUCUCCUGACCUCGUGAUCCGCCCGCCUCGGCCUACCAAAGUGCUGGGAUUACAGGCAUGAACCACCGUGCCCGGCCUCUAGGGGCUUUUUAAAAUACUGGUUAAUGUCUCCCACGACAUGAAAUGGUAAUAUACGUUGGAAUGACACUUUGAGUCUAAAGGUAAAUGUUUCAGAAGCAAAGAAACUGCAGUAUCCCAAACACGGAAUGGGUGUAGCAAGUGAUUACUGAUUUAUUAAGAAGAAAUAAGAAUAAGCCGAUUUAACUAAACAACACAAAAUUUUAGACAAGACACAUCCUAAAAAUAUGUUUGAGAAAUUCCAAGAAUCGCUAUCCAAGACGAUUGAUUUUCAGACUAUGCGAGGACAGAGCUAUAUUAUAAAAAUCAUAACAGGUAGCUUUUUGUUCAUGUCCAAAUCUCAAAGAUUACAAUGUAUACAAAAUAUUAGGGCAACAUGGCCCCAUCAAAAAAAUUAUAAAAUUUUCAAAAGCAACAAUAAAAAGUGUAUAAUUUUUAAAAUUCCAAAUAAAUUGAACAGGCCAGGCUUGGUGGCUCAUUCCUGUAAUCCCAACACACUGGGAGGCCAAGGUGGGGAAAUCAGAUGAGGUCAGGAGUUUGAGACCAGCCUGGCCAACAUGGUGAAACCCUGUCUCUACUAAAAAUACAAAAAAUUAGCUAGCCGUGUUGACAGGCACCUGUAAUCCCAGCUAUUCAGGGGGCUGAGGCAGGAGUAUUGCUUGAAUGUGGGAGGCGGAGGUUGCAGUGAGCUGAGAUUACGCCACUGCACUCCAGGGCGAGACUCCGUCUCAGGAAAAAAAAAAAAAAAAAAACAAAUAAAAUAAAUUUAAUUUUCACAAAGUGAAACAGGAACACAGACAACUACUGAAGAUUAGAAAAACGAGGAUAACAACGAAAAAAUAUUAAAAUAGAAAACAAAAAUUGUGGGUGUAAAAAAUACAAAAACUAAGUGAAAAAUUUCUUAAAAGAAAAAAUUGUGUAAAUAGGGCAAAGCUGAAAAGCUGAACAAACAAACUAGGAUAUACCCAAACAUCUAUUUAUAACAAACACAUAUAUAAACAAAAUUCCAAAAAUCACAGAUAAGAAGAGAAUUUUGGGAGCUGCAAGAUAAAAAUGAUGGUCAUUUAUAAGCAUAGUCUUAUGAGAUAACCAAUAAAUUGAUCAAAAACAUUUUUGUAGGUCAAAAGGAAACUGUGAUAUUGUUAUUAAAGUUAUAAUAAAAAAAGAUGUCAAGUGGGAAUAGUACCAUCACCAAAAUUGUACUACCAAAUAAAAAGAAGUCCUUCCAAAAUAACCAAAUCCUGAGAAAGUAUAUUGGCACUGCAUAUGCCCUACAUAUCAAGGAUGCUGAAAGGAGUUUUUUUCCACAGAAAAUAACAUAAUGCAAGAAAACAACACAUAAUCAUCUGAAGAUAUGUAAGUUUCUGGAAAAGAUAGGCACAUUCAUAAAAAUGGAAUUUCUUACUUAACUAAUGUUAAUUAGUUAUGUUAAUCAUAAUGGUACAGUUUAAAAGAUAAAAGUAUGGAAAUUAUGAACAUCUGUUAAUGAAUAGACAACAUAAAAAAUAUAAUUAGUAAAAUCAAUAACAAAUGUGAAGGUAGAUGUAAUAAUGAGGAAUUUCUGUAUGCAACUGAAGUUAAUUUUUUACUACAUUAAAAUAUAUUGUUGGAUCUUUUAGAGGUUUUAGAUAAUCCCCCAAGGUACUACUAAGAAAAUAUCCGAGGCCAGGCACGGUGGCUCACGCCUGUAAUCCCAGCACUUUGGGAGGCCGAGGCGGGCGGAUCACAAGGUCAGGAGAUGGAGACCAUCCUGGCUAACACGGUGAAACCCCGUCUCUAUUAAAAAUACAAAAAAAAAAAAAUUAGCCGGGUGUAGAGGUGGGCGCCGGUAGUUCCAGCUACUCGAGAGGCUGAGGCAGAAGAAUGGUGUGAACCCGGGAGGCGGAGCUUACAGUGAGCCAAGAUCGCGCCAGGGCACUCCAGCCUGGGCGACAGAGCGAGACUCCGUCUCAAAA